AUUGAACGCUGGCGGCAUGCCUUACACAUGCAAGUCGAACGAGUGGCGAACGGGUGAGUAAUACAUCGGAACGUGCCCUGUAGUGGGGGAUAACUAGUCGAAAGACUAGCUAAUACCGCAUACUAUAGGAGCGGCCGAUGUCUGAUUAGCUAGUUGGUGGGGUAAAGGCCUACCAAGGCGACGAUCAGUAGCUGGUCUGAGAGGACGAUCAGCCACACUGGGACUGAGACACGGCCCAGACUCCUACGGGAGGCAGCAGUGGGGAAUUUUGGACAAUGGGGGCAACCCUGAUCCAGCAAUGCCGCGUGUGUGAAGAAGGCCUUCGGGUUGUAAAGCACUUUCAGCGGGGAGGCGUUACCCGCAGAAGAAGCACCGGCUAACUCCGUGCCAGCAGCCGCGGUAAUUC
rnacentral:rRNA from 1 species